GAGUAGCCCAAUGGCAGAGGCAACAGACUUAAAAUCUGUCAAGUGCGGGUUCGACUCCCGCCUCAG
rnacentral:tRNA from 1 species